GGAAUAUUGGACAAUGGGCGAAAGCCUGAUCCAGCAAUGCCGCGUGAGUGAUGAAGGCCUUAGGGUUGUAAAGCUCUUUUACCCGGGAUGAUAAUGACAGUACCGGGAGAAUAAGCUCCGGCUAACUCCGUGCCAGCAGCCGCGGUAAUACGGAGGGAGCUAGCGUUGUUCGGAAUUACUGGGCGUAAAGCGCACGUAGGCGGCUUUGUAAGUCAGAGGUGAAAGCCUGGAGCUCAACUCCAGAACUGCCUUUGAGACUGCAUCGCUUGAAUCCAGGAGAGGUGAGUGGAAUUCCGAGUGUAGAGGUGAAAUUCGUAGAGAUUCGGAAGAACACGAGUGGCGAAGGCGGCUCACUGGACUGGUAGUGACGCUGAGGUGCGAAAGCGUGGGGAGCAAACAGGA
rnacentral:misc_RNA from 1 species